GAAAGUGUGAGGACUGUCGCUGGCUCCUCUCGGAGCAUGUGCACGUCUUCCCUUUGGUCGACCUUCCUCUUUCUCUUACCACACACCUGUGCACCUAUUGUAGGUCCUCGAAAAGAGGAUCUAUGUUUUUUCACAUCACACCCGUCGUAUGUCUACAGAAUGUAAUCGAGAACGUCGACCUGUUUCGACAGGCUUUGGCGGUCCAUAAAUCAUACAACUUUCAGCAACGGAUCUCUUGGCUCUCGCAUCGAUGAAGAACGCAGCGAAUUGCGAUAAGUAAUGUGAAUUGCAGAUUUUCAGUGAAUCAUCGAAUCUUUGAACGCACCUUGCGCUCCUUGGUAUUCCGAGGAGCAUGCCUGUUUGAGUGUCAUCGAAUUCUCAACCAUGUCUUGAUUUACUUCGAGCCAUGGCUUGGACUUGGGGGUUGCUGGCGGCACAAAGCUGUCGGCUCUCCUGAAAUGCAUUAGCAAAGGGUGGCAAGUCUUUCGACGUGCACGGCCUUCGACGUGAUAAUGAUCGUCGUGGCUGGAGCGUCGGACAUGCAUCAAUCACUCAGUGCUUCUAAUCAAUUCUACCCGGCCUUGGGUCGUUCAGUCUACUAGUCGGUCGUGAGGUCGACGAACGUUGGGCGGCCGGGGGUUGGUCUCUUUCGAAACUUGACCUCAAAUCAGGUAGGACUACCCGCUGAACUUAAGCAUAUCAAUAAGCGGAGGAAAAGAAACUAACAAGGAUUCCCCUAGUAACUGCGAGUGAAGCGGGAAGAGCUCAAAUUUCGAAUCUGGCGGUCUUCGGCCCGUCCGAGUG
rnacentral:rRNA from 1 species